rnacentral:rRNA from 1 species
UAGGGAAUUUUCCGCAAUGGGCGCAAGCCUGACGGAGCAACGCCGCGUGCAGGAGGAAGGCCUUCGGGUUGUAAACUGCUUUUAUCUGUGAAGAUUUUGACAGUAACAGAAGAAUAAGGACCUGCUAACUACGUGCCAGCAGCCGCGGUCAUACGUAGGGUCCAAGCGUUAUCCGGAAUUACUGGGCGUAAAGAGUUGCGUAGGUGGCAUAGUAAGCAAAUAGUGAAAUGACGAGGCUCAACCUUGUGUCCAUUAUUUGAACUGCUAAGCUAGAGCAUGAGAGAGGUAGAUGGAAUUUCUAGUGUAGGAGUGAAAUCCGUAGAUAUUAGAAGGAACACCGAUGGCGUAGGCAGUCUACUGGCUUAUUGCUGACACUAAGGCACGAAAGCGUGGGGAGCGAACGGGAUUAGAUACCCCUGUAGUCC